CCCUUAGAUGUCCGGGGCUGCACGCGCGCUACACUGAUGCAUUCAACGAGCCUAUCCUUGACCGACAGGUCCGGGUAAUCUUUGAAUCUGCAUCGUGACGGGGAUAGAUUAUUGCAAUUAUUAAUCUUCAACGAGGAAUGCCUAGUAGGCGCAAGUCAUCAGCUUGCGUCGAUUACGUCCCUGCCCUUUGUACACACCGCCCGUCGCUCCUACCGAUUGGGUGUGCUGGUGAAAUGUUCGGAUCGGCCGUUUGUCGCGGUUUCCGCGGCUCGUGGCUGAGAAGUUCAUUAAACCCUCCCACCUAGAGGAAGGAGAAGUCGUAACA
rnacentral:rRNA from 1 species